UACGUAGGAGGCAAGCGUUAUCCGGAAUUACUGGGCGUAAAGGGCGUCUAGGUGGCUGUCCAAGCGGGGUGUGAAAGCUCCUGGCUUAACUGGGAGAGUGCGCUCCGAACUGGGCAGCUGGAGGGCAGGCGACGUGGAUGGAAUACCCGGUGGAGUGGUGAAAUGCGUAGAGAUCGGGUGGAACACCAGUGGCGAAGGCGGUCCACGAGCCUGUGCCUGACACUGAAGCGCGAGAGCGUGGGGAGCAAACGGGAUUAGAUACCCUCGUAGUCC
rnacentral:rRNA from 1 species